rnacentral:rRNA from 1 species
UACGGAGGGUGCAAGCGUAUCCGGAUUCACUGGGUUUAAAGGGUGCGUAGGUGGGCAGGUAAGUCCGUGGUGAAAUCUCUGAGCUUAACUCAGAAACUGCCGUGGAUACUAUUUGUCUUGAAUGUUGUGGAGGUGAGCGGAAUAUGUCAUGUAGCGGUGAAAUGCUUAGAUAUGACAUAGAACACCAAUUGCGAAGGCAGCUCACUACACAAUUAUUUGACGCUGAGGCACGAAGCGUGGGGAUCAAACAGG